rnacentral:rRNA from 1 species
UACGAAGGGGGCUAGCGUUGUUCGGAAUUACUGGGCGUAAAGCGCGUGUAGGCGGGUCUUUAAGUCAGGGGUGAAAUGCCAGGGCUCAACCUUGGAACUGCCUUUGAUACUGGAGACCUUGAGUCCGGGAGAGGUGAGUGGAAUUGCGAGUGUAGAGGUGAAAUUCGUAGAUAUUAGCAGGAACACCGGUGGCGAAGGCGGCUAUCUGGACGACAACUGACGCUGAGGCGCGAAAGCGUGGGGAUCAAACAGG